rnacentral:rRNA from 1 species
UACGGAGGGUGCAAGCGUUAUCCGGAUUUACUGGGUUUAAAGGGUGCGUAGGUGGGCAGGUAAGUCAGUGGUGAAAUCUCCGAGCUUAACUCGGAAACUGCCAUUGAUACUAUCUGUCUUGAAUACCCUGGAGGUGAGCGGAAUAUGUCAUGUAGCGGUGAAAUGCUUAGAUAUGACAUAGAACACCAAUUGCGAAGGCAGCUCACUACGGGAUAAUUGACGCUGAGGCACGAAAGCGUGGGGAUCAAACAGG